CCAUGUUUGCAUGCUGAAAGAGGAUGUGCUGGUCUGACCCCCCUCCUCCUUUCAGGGUGGAGCCUGCUGGAGUCCGAUGGUUGAGACCAGGUCUGAGGAAGUAUUCCUGUGAACUCACAGUCGACACAAACACAGUAAACAGAAACAUCAAACUGUCUGACAACAACAGGAAGAUGACACGUGUGGAGGAGGAUCAGUCAUAUCCUGAUCAUCCAGACAGAUUUGACUACUGGACUCAGCUGCUGUGUAGAACUGGUCUGACUGGUCGCUGUUACUGGGAGGUCGAGUGGAGAGGAGGAGUUUGUAUAUCAGUGAGUUACAGAAGAAUCAGAAGGAAAGGAAACAGUAGAGACUGUUUGUUUGGAUGGAAUAAUCAGUCCUGGAGACUGUACUGCUCUGAUGGUGGUAGUUACUCUGUCAGGAACAAUAACAGAACAACAUCCAUCUCCUCCUCCUCUUCCUCCUCCUCCUCCUCCUCCUCCUCCUCCUGGGUCUCUCACAGAGUAGCAGUGUAUCUGGACUGUCCUGCUGGCUCUCUGUCCUUCUACAGAGUCUCCUCUGACACACUGAUCCACCUCCACACCUUCAACACCACAUUCACUGAACCUCUUUAUCCUGGGUUUGGGUUUGGGUCUUGGUGGCCUGGUUCUGGUUCUUCAGUGUCUCUGUGUGGUCUGUAGGACGGAGAGUCUCCUCCUGUUGGACAAACAUUGUCUCUGCUGAACAGAUCAGUUGAGUGUGUCCAAGAUCACACAGCUGAUGUUCUUUCUGUCCCACACCAUGUGUCCCUGGUUAGAUUCUCUCUCUACCCCCAUGUUUCCUGUCUGCGUCUCCUACGUGUCCGUAAAGACAAAAUGUCCAAAACAAAGACAGAGAAGAUGAAAUUAAAUGUGUCAUGAGCAGAGAGGACAACACUAAGAAGAAGAAUAACAUGUACUUGUAUGUCUAGAGAGGUCCACAGGGCACCAACGCCUCACCCCUGGGGGAGGAAAGCAGAUGGACCAGAUUCACCUUCACUAGUCUCAGUGCUGUUGUGGAACGACUCUUGUCCAAUCAGAUUACUCGCUGUGAACUACCUGUUGUGUAAUAUAUGAUACCUGCAGUUUGUAGGCUUCACUGUACGUAUAGAUUUCUGUUUCAGGACAAAAGGAAAUGAUGAUUAUCAAUGGGCCACAUUGAUCAUAUCAAUCAUUGAUUAUUACAUGAAUGUGACUGUGUGAAUAAAGACUUUAUACUGCUUCAUAAUCA